CCAAUAGCGUAUAUUAAAGUUGUUGCAGUUAAAAAGCUCGUAGUUGAAUUUCGGGAUCAAUUUAUUGGUCGUGCUAUUGUACGUACUGGUAUUAUUGAUUCCUACCUUCUGACGAACCAUGAUGUCAUUAAUUUGGUGUCAUGAGGAAUCAGGACUGUUACUUUGAAAAAAUUAGAGUGUUUAAAGCAGGCUCACGCUUGAAUACAUUAGCAUGGAAUAACGAAAUAGGACGUUUGAUUCUAUUUUGUUGGUUUCUAGGAUCGACGUAAUGAUUAAUAGGGAUAGUUGGGGGCAUUAGUAUUCAAUUGUCAGAGGUGAAAUUCUUGGAUUUAUUGAAGACUAACUACUGCGAAAGCAUUUGCCAAGGAUGUUUUCAUUAAUCAAGAACGAAAGUUAGGGGAUCGAAGACGAUCAGAUACCGUCGUAGUCUUAACCAUAAACUAUGCCGACUAGGGAUCGGAUGAUGUUAAUUUUUUAAUGACUCAUUCGGCGCCUUACG
rnacentral:rRNA from 1 species